CUGACAAAAGAGCUCACAAAAGGAAAAUGGCAGCACGACAAACUUCAAGGAAAACACUGAAAGUGUUUCCAGAGAACCCAAGGCUGUGAAGAGUCUAAGAACAGUUUUAUGCCAUGAGACAUGCAGAAAAGGAGGAAGAGAUCCUAAGGAGGAUCUACCCACUGACCUUCCCAAGGCUGUGAUCUCUUCCAAAUGCAUUCCCAUCAUUGUGAUGCCAUCUACCACUGUGCGGCCCUAACCAGAGAGAUGAAGAGAAAGUUGGUCAUGUGAAUGACCUACAACUCUGCUCAGCAGUUGGUGAGAUCCUGUGGAUGACUGCAGGCAUACAUCCAAAAAUACAAGGUUGAUUGUAAGUUUGAAGCAUAAAUUUCAUUUGACUGAUAAGAAGUCAUUGAAAAGGAGGAGAAAGUCCAAAUAGAUAAAGAAAGGUAUGAUCAGAAAGGAAGAGCUUCAAAACGUAGAAAAAUUCCUAGAGCCACAUAGCAAUGUGUAACUGAGCAUUUGAAAUACUUACUAUGUGAAUUUUUUAUAAUUGUGGUCUAUUUUAACUGCUUCCAAAACAAGGUGAAACUUCUUAUGAUCACUGCAAGGAAAUUAAUUUUUUUUGUCUUUUGUACAAAGUUAAUAUAAAAAUAACUUAAUCGAUUAAUGCUUUUGGUUAACUGAGAUUUUGAUAUCUUUUUAUUCCUUUCCUUAGUGGGGUUGAGUUCAGGAUAUGCCUUGAAAUCAGAAUACUGAUGGUGGAGUAUCUCCAGAAUACGUCCUUUUUUUCCCCAAGAUCAAUAUUCUUCAACCGCUACCACACCAAAAAUCAGUAUUCUGAAGCUCCCAAAUCUGUGACAUUCUACUGAAUAUUGCUUAAUGAAUUCAUACUUUGUUAUGAAUGGUCUCAGCUGAUGAACUCUGUAGGUAAAUGAUUUGUA
rnacentral:lncRNA from 1 species